GAUGAAGAACGUAGCGAAAUGCGAUAAGUAAUGUGAAUUGCAGAAUUCGGUGAAUCAUCGAAUCUUUGAACGCACAUUGCGCCCCUUGGUAUUCCGGGGGGCAUGUCUCUUCCAGCGUCAUUUCACCCCUCAAGCUCUGCUUGGUUUUGGGCCGCGCCGGCAACGGCGGGCCUCGAAAAUAGUGGCGACGCCAUCGUGCUCUCAGCGUAGUAAUUCUUCUCGCUGUUGGGUCCCGGUGGUCGUCCGCCAGCAACCCCCAACUUUCUUAAGUUUGACCUGGGAUGAGGUAGGGAUACCCGCUGAACUUAAGCAUAUCAAUAAGCGGAGGA
rnacentral:misc_RNA from 1 species